UACAGAGGGUGCAAGCGUUGUUCGGAAUUAUUGGGCGUAAAGGGCGCGUAGGCGGUUCGGCAAGUCUCUAGUGAAAUCUCUGGGCUCAACUCAGAGUCUGCUGGGGAAACUGCCGGGCUUGAGUGUGGGAGAGGAGAGUGGAAUUCCCGGUGUAGCGGUGAAAUGCGUAGAUAUCGGGGAGGAACACCCUGUGGCGAAAAGCGGCUCUCUG
rnacentral:rRNA from 1 species